rnacentral:rRNA from 1 species
UACGAAGGGGGCUAGCGUUGCUCGGAAUUACUGGGCGUAAAGCGCACGUAGGCGGAUUGUUAAGUCGGGGGGUGAAAUCCUGGAGCUCAACUCCAGAACUGCCUUCGAUACUGGCGAUCUCGAGUUCGGGAGAGGUGAGUGGAACUGCGAGUGUAGAGGUGAAAUUCGUAGAGAUUGGGUGGAACACCAGUGGCGAAGGCGCCUGUCUGGCUGACAACUGACGCUGAGACACGAAAGCGUGGGGAGCAAACAGG